UUCCUGGUGGUCCAGUGGCUAAGACUUUGCACUCCCAAAGAAGGAGGCUCAGGUUCAAUUCCUGACAAGGGAA
rnacentral:tRNA from 1 species